AGCGAACGCUGGCGGCAGGCUUAACACAUGCAAGUCGAGCGGGCCCUUCGGGGUCAGCGGCAGACGGGUGAGUAACACGUGGGAACGUACCCUUUGGUUCGGAAUAACGCUGGGAAACUAGCGCUAAUACCGGAUACGCCCUUUUGGGGAAAGGCUUGCUGCCGAAGGAUCGGCCCGCGUCUGAUUAGCUAGUUGGUGGGGUAAUGGCCUACCAAGGCGACGAUCAGUAGCUGGUCUGAGAGGAUGCUCAGCCACACUGGGACUGAGACACGGCCCAGACUCCUACGGGAGGCAGCAGUGGGGAAUAUUGGACAAUGGGCGCAAGCCUGAUCCAGCCAUGCCGCGUGAGUGAUGAAGGCCUUAGGGUUGUAAAGCUCUUUUGUCCGGGACGAUAAUGACGGUACCGGAAGAAUAAGCCCCGGCUAACUUCGUG
rnacentral:rRNA from 1 species